rnacentral:rRNA from 1 species
GAUGAACGCUAGCGGCAGGCUUAAUACAUGCAAGUCGAGGGGCAGCAUGAAGUAGCAAUACUUUGAUGGCGACCGGCAAACGGGUGCGGAACACGUACACAACCUUCCUUUAAGUGGGGAAUAGCCCAGAGAAAUUUGGAUUAAUACCCCUUAACACAACGAAGUGGCAUCACUUUGUUGUUAUAGUUUCGGCGCUUAAUGAUGGGUGUGCGUAUGAUUAGAUAGUUGGCGAGGUAACGGCUCACCAAGUCUACGAUCAUUAGCUGAUGUGAGAGCAUGAACAGCCAGAAGGGAGAUGAGGCACGGGCCCGAAUCGGACGGGAGGCAGCAGUAAGGAAUAUUAGGGAAUGAACGCAAGUCUAAACCAGCCGUGCCGCGUGAAAAAUUAAGGUCAUCUGGAAUGUAAACUUCUUGUGUAUGAGACGAAAAAAGGUCUUUCUAGACGCCUUGACGGUACCAUAUGAAUAAGCACCGGCUAACUCCGUG